rnacentral:rRNA from 1 species
AGAGUUUGAUCAUGGCUCAGAUUGAACGCUGGCGGUAGGUUUUAUCCAUGCAAGUCGAGCGGUAACAGACAUUUUGAUUCAGCUUGCUGAAUCUAGUGCUGACGAGCGGCGAACUGGUGAGUAACGCGUAGGAAUCUGCCCAGUAGCGGGGGAUAGCCCGAGGAAACUCGGAUUAAUACCGCAUACGCCCUAAGGGGGAAAGGGGGCAUCUUUGAUGCUCUUACUAUUGGAGGAGCCUGCGUAAGAUUAGCUUGUUGGUAGGGUAAAGGCCUACCAAGGCGACGAUCUUUAGCUGGUCUGAGAGGACGAUCAGCCACAUUGGGACUGAGACACGGCCCAGACGUCUACGGACGGCAGCAGGAGAGAAUAUUGGACAAUGAGGGAAACCUUGAUCCAGCCAUACCGCGUGUGUGAAGAAGGCCUUAGGGUUGUAAAGCACUUUAAGCGAUGAAGAAGAAAAGUAAGUUAAUACCUUAUUUUUUUGACGUUACUCGCAGAAUAAGUACCGGCUAACUCCGUGCCAGCAGCCGCGGUAAUACGGAGGGUACAAGCGUUAAUCGGAAUUACUGGGCGUAAAGCGCGCGUAGGCGGUUAAGUAAGUUGGAUGUGAAAGCCCUGGGCUCAACCUAGGAACUGCAUUCAAAACUAUUUAACUAGAGUACGAGAGAGGAGAGUAGAAUUUCUGGUGUAGCG